GACGAACGCUGGCGGCGUGCCUAAUACAUGCAAGUAGAACGCUGAAGCUUGGUGCUUGCCCCGAGCGGCUGAGUUGCGAACGGGUGAGUAACGCGUAGGUAACCUGCCUGGUAGCGGGGGAUAACUAUUGGAAACGAUAGCUAAUACCGCAUAAGAGUAGAUGUUGCAUGACAUUUGCUUAAAAGGUGCAAUUGCAUCACUACCAGAUGGACCUGCGUUGUAUUUGCAUGUUGGUGAGGUAACGGCUCACCAAGGCAAGGAUACAUAGCCGACCUGAGAGGGUGAUCGGCCACACUGAGACGGUGACACGGCACAGACGCAUACGGGAGGCAGCAGUAGGGAAUCUUGGGAAAUGGACGGAAGACUGACCGAGAAACGCGGAAGGAGUGAAGAAGGUUUUCGGAUGGUAAAGGUCGGUUGUCAGAGAAGAACGAGUUUGAGGCUGGGAAGUUCACAGUGUGACGGUAGCUUAACAAAAAGGGACGGCUAACUACGUG
rnacentral:rRNA from 1 species